AUGACGAGUGGCGGACGGGUGAGUAAUGCUUGGGAACUUGCCUUUGCGAGGGGGAUAACAGUUGGAAACGACUGCUAAUACCGCAUAAUGUCUUCGGACCAAACGGGGCUUAGGCUCCGGCGCAAAGAGAGGCCCAAGUGAGAUUAGCUAGUUGGUAAGGUAACGGCUUACCAAGGCGACGAUCUCUAGCUGUUCUGAGAGGAAGAUCAGCCACACUGGGACUGAGACACGGCCCAGACUCCUACGGGAGGCAGCAGUGGGGAAUAUUGCACAAUGGGGGAAACCCUGAUGCAGCCAUGCCGCGUGUGUGAAGAAGGCCUUCGGGUUGUAAAGCACUUUCAGUUGUGAGGAAAAGUUAGUAGUUAAUACCUGCUAGCCGUGACGUUAACAACAGAAGAAGCACCGGCUAACUCCGUGCCAGCAGCCGCGGUAAUACGGAGGGUGCGAGCGUUAAUCGGAAUUACUGGGCGUAAAGCGCACGCAGGCGGUUUGUUAAGCUAGAUGUGAAAGCCCCGGGCUCAACCUGGGAUGGUCAUUUAGAACUGGCAGACUAGAGUCUUGGAGAGGGGAGUGGAAUUCCAGGUGUAGCGGUGAAAUGCGUAGAUAUCUGGAGGAACAUCAGUGGCGAAGGCGACUCCCUGGCCAAAGACUGACGCUCAUGUGCGAAAGUGUGGGUAGCGAACAGGAUUAGAUACCCUGGUAGUCCACACCGUAAACGCUGUCUACUAGCUGUGUGUGCCUUUAAGGCGUGCGUAGCGAAGCUAACGCGCUAAGUAGACCGCCUGGGGAGUACGGCCGCAAGGUUAAAACUCAAAUGAAUUGACGGGGGCCCGCACAAGCGGUGGAGCAUGUGGUUUAAUUCGAUGCAACGCGAAGAACCUUACCUACACUUG
rnacentral:rRNA from 2 species